UAAAAGUUAACUCAAUUUGGAUUUGGAACGUUUGCCUACGUUUGCCGCUAGGGGCGCUGUUCCAACUGCAUACAAAUUAAAGUUA
rnacentral:pre_miRNA from 1 species